rnacentral:rRNA from 1 species
UACGGGGGGGGCAAGCGUUGUUCGGAAUUACUGGGCGUAACGGGCUCGUAGGCGGCCAACUAAGUCGGACGUGAAAUCCCUCGGCUUAACCGGGGAACGGCGUCCGAUACUGGAUGGCUUGAGUUUGGGAGAGGGAUGCGGAAUUCCAGGUGUAGCGGUGAAAUGCGUAGAUAUCUGGAGGAACACCGGUGGCGAAGGCGGCAUCCUGGACCAAAACUGACGCUGAAUAGCGCAAGCCAGGGGAGCAAACGGG